rnacentral:rRNA from 1 species
GCUUAACGCGAAGAACCUUACCUGGGCUAGAAAGCGUAAGAACCUUGGUGAAAACUGAGGGUGCCUCGGGAACGUACGAUAGUGCUGCAUGGCUGUCGUCAGCUCGUGUCGUGAGAUGUUGGGUUAAGUCCCGCAACGAGCGCAACCCUUGUUGUUAGUUGCCAGCAUUAAGUUGGGCACUCUAACAAGACUGCCGACCUUUAAGUCGGAGGAAGGUGGGGAUGACGUCAAGUCCUCAUGGCCCUUACGUCCAGGGCUACACACGUGCUACAAUGACCGGUACAAAGGGUUGCCAAACCGCGAGGUGGGGCCAAUCCCAAAAGCCGGCCUCAGUACGGAUAAGAGUCUGCAACUCGACUCUUUGAAGGCGGAAUCGCUAGUAAUCCCUGAUCAGCAUAGCA